CUCGAUGUGGCGGAAUAGGCAGACGCAUCGGACUUAAAAUCCGGUUCCCUUAUUGGGAGUGAGGGUUCGAUCCCCUCCAUCGAGA
rnacentral:tRNA from 1 species